CAGUAGCCGCGGUAAAACGAAGGGGGCUAGCGUUGUUCGGAAUUACUGGGCGUAAAGCGCACGUAGGCGGAUAUUUAAGUCAGGGGUGAAAUCCCGCAGCUCAACUGCGGAACUGCCUUUGAUACUGGGUAUCUUGAGUAUGGAAGAGGUUAGUGGAAUUGCGAGUGUAGAGGUGAAAUUCGUAGAUAUUCGCAGGAACACCAGUGGCGAAGGCGGCUAACUGGUCCAUAACUGACGCUGAGGUGCGAAAGCGUGGGGAGCAAACAGGAUUAGAUACCCGCGUAGUCCCUGUCUCUUAUAC
rnacentral:rRNA from 1 species